CGAAAGCCUGACGGAGCAAUACCGCGUGAGGGAGGAAGGCCUUUGGGUUGUAAACCUCUUUUCUCAGGGAAGAAGUUCUGACGGUACCUGAGGAAUAAGCAUCGGCUAACUCCGUGCCAGCAGCCGCGGUAAUACGGAGGAUGCAAGCGUUAUCCGGAAUUAUUGGGCGUAAAGCGUCCGCAGGUGGUUUUUCAAGUCUGCUGUUAAAGACCAGAGCUUAACUCUGGGCAGGCGGUGGAAACUGGAAGACUAGAGUUCGGUAGGGGUAGCGGGAAUUCCCAGUGUAGCGGUGAAAUGCGUAGAUAUUGGGAAGAACAUCGGUGGCGAAGGCGCGCUACUGGACCGAAACUGACACUCAGGGACGAAAGCUAGGGUAGCGAAAGGGAUUAGAUACCCCUGUAGUCCUAGCUGUAAACGAUG
rnacentral:rRNA from 1 species